rnacentral:lncRNA from 1 species
UUCAGUGGACUAGACGUUCCGCGUCCUGAUGCCCCUGUAGAAAACUCUAGUGCCAGUCAGUGUGAGGUGGGCUCUGUGCCCCCCUUCAGCCAGUCCCUUGGCAUCACGCUCCCCAGUGUUGUGGAGGAAAAUGCAGAAAAGCAAGCAGAGAACCAGUCUGCCACAUUGGGAGUACAGAGUACAGAGACCAGUGUUGACCUGACUGCCACUCUGCUCCCGAGUGAGCUGGACCUCACAGAGCUGGGGCGGACAGCCAGUAUCCCUCCACCUACAAAAAGCCAGCAGGUACACACACACUAUUUAUCAGACUAAUCUAACAUGGCUAAUUAAUUCUAACAGUGAGA